rnacentral:rRNA from 1 species
GACGUAGGGUCCAAGCGUUGUCCGGAUUUACUGGGCGUAAAGAGCGCGUAGGCGGUCUGUUAAGUGUGAAGUGAAAUCUCUAGGGCUCAACCCAGAAACUGCUUUACAUACUGGCAGACUUGAGUGAUGAAGAGGUUUGUGGAAUUCCUGGUGUAGCGGUGAAAUGCGUUGAUAUCAGGAGGAACACCCAUGGCGAAGGCAGCAAACUGGUCAUCAACUGACGCUGAGGCGCGAAAAGCGUGGGUAGCAAACAGG